AUCGGGUUCCUCCCCAAGGCUUUAUAGCCGAUUUCGCUAUUGUUUCUGCUAUCUCCUUUGCUGUUUGCACAUGGUUUUUGUCUUUUUGUGUCCUCUUUUCUUGCUUGUUUGCAGGCUUUGAGGGGUGUCAGACGCAUGGAGGAGAGGGGCAUGCGUGGGGCGUGCGACGGUGGUAGUGCGCAAGGUGGCCAAUGGUUGGCCUAGAGGUUCGGCAGCACACCUGGGGGGCUGAGUUGCGGCUGAAGGUUGAUUGCUGAAAAAUUUUGAAAUAGUUGGGCUAGGGUUUUGGUAUUGGUUUGGGCUUGUUUUGUUUAAUGGGCUUAUUGGGUUAGGG
rnacentral:lncRNA from 1 species